UACGUAGGGGGCAAGCGUUGUCCGGAAUUAUUGGGCGUAAAGAGCGUGUAGGCGGCCAGAUAAGUCCGCUGUGAAAUCUCGAGGCUCAACUUCGAGCUGUCGGUGGAAACUAUCUGGCUAGAGUCCGGAAGAGGAGAAUGGAAUUCCUGGUGUAGCGGUGAAAUGCGCAGAUAUCAUUUGGAACGCCAAUGGUGAAAACAGGUAGCUGGGGAUGUGCUGACGCUGAGACACGAAAGCCAGGGGAGCAAACGGG
rnacentral:rRNA from 1 species